rnacentral:rRNA from 1 species
AUUGAACGCUGGCGGCAUGCCUUACACAUGCAAGUCGAACGGCAGCAUGGAAGAGCUUGCUCUUCUGAUGGCGAGUGGCGAACGGGUGAGUAAAGCAUCGGAACGUACCGUGUAGUGGGGGAUAACGUAGCGAAAGUUACGCUAAUACCGCAUACGCACUGAGGUGGAAAGCAGGGGAUCGCAAGACCUUGCGCUAUACGAGCGGCCGAUGUCAGAUUAGCUAGUUGGUAGGGUAAAGGCCUACCAAGGCGACGAUCUGUAGCGGGUCUGAGAGGAUGAUCAGCCACACUGGGACUGAGACACGGCCCAGACUCCUACGGGAGGCAGCAGUGGGGAAUAUUGGACAAUGGGCGAAAGCCUGAUCCAGCAAUGCCGCGUGAGUGAUGAAGGCCUUAGGGUUGUAAAGCUCUUUUACCCGAGAUGAUAAUGACAGUAUC